rnacentral:misc_RNA from 1 species
AUCUCGCUCGAUGUUGUCGGCUCGGACGGUGAUCUGAAAGUGAAGUCGUAGUCGUAGCCGUACGAUCGGCGUGGCGCAGCGCGUCGUCGCGUCGCCUAAGCCCUAAACCUAACAAUAAGACCGAAUCUCUCUCGCGUCUUUCCUUAACCCUGCGCAGUCCUCUUUUUCUCGUGUCAAAGAUUCACGGUUCACAGGUUCACAGGCACAGAGCAAAAGUCGACACGUGACAGCAGACGCGUAUAGAUGCACCUUAAUUCUCUUCGAUGCACAUAAUGAUAUAUUAUAAAACUAGCUAUUGGAUUUUGAAAUUUCCGAUACCAGAUACUAGAUGUACAUCCUUCGUUAAAAUUCUCAUCGUUCUCCACGUGCAUAAUGGUCGGCAUACCGAAACUACGCUACAGAUAACAUUCGCGAGUACGUCUGAAAGAGUAUCGCCGCUCAAAGCCGAACCUAAACUCUGUUGGCCGUUGAGAAAUUGACGAUUUCGACUAUUGGCGAAGAUACGUUGACAUCGACGGACAUUUAUUUCUACGGAUACCUCAAAAUUAUUUGACUCGAUUUACGAAUCUUCAGAUACAUCGUUUUUCUGACAAAUCGAAGAUAUGCGACGGUUAUGUCAUUUUACAAAACUAGAAUAAGUAGAAACGAAACAAGCGUAGAAAAUAU